AGAGUUUGAUCCUGGCUCAGAACGAACGCUGGCGGCAUGCCUAACACAUGCAAGUCGAACGAAGUCUUCGGACUUAGUGGCGCACGGGUGCGUAACGCGUGGGAAUCUGCCCUUGGGUGCGGAAUAACUUCUCGAAAGGGAUGCUAAUACCGCAUAAUGUCGUAAGACCAAAGAUUUAUCGCCCAAGGAUGAGCCCGCGUAAGAUUAGCUAGUUGGUGGGUAAAAGCCUACCAAGGCGACGAUCUUUAGCUGGUCUGAGAGGAUGAUCAGCCACACUGGGACUGAGACACGGCCCAGACUCCUACGGGAGGCAGCAGUGGGGAAUAUUGGACAAUGGGCGAAAGCCUGAUCCAGCAAUGCCGCGUGAGUGAUGAAGGCCCUAGGGUUGUAAAGCUCUUUUACCAGGGAUGAUAAUGACAGUACCUGGAGAAUAAGCUCCGGCUAACUCCGUG
rnacentral:rRNA from 1 species